rnacentral:rRNA from 1 species
GGUUUAAUUCGAUGCAACGCGAAAACCUUACCCACCUUGACAUGUACGGAACCCUUUAGAGAUAGAGGGGUGCUCGAAAGAGAGCCGUAACACAGGUGCUGCAUGGCUGUCGUCAGCUCGUGUCGUGAGAUGUUGGGUUAAGUCCCGCAACGAGCGCAACCCUUGUCAUUAGUUGCUACAUUCAGUUGGGCACUCUAAUGAGACUGCCGGUGUUAAACCCGGAGAAAGGUGGGGAUGACGUCAAGUCCUCAUGGCCCUUAUGUCCAGGGCUACACACGUGCUACAAUGGCCGGUACAAAGGGCUGCAAUACCGCAAGGUGGAGCGAACCCCAAAAAGCCGGUCUCAGUUCGGAUUGGAGUCUGCAACUCGACUCCAUGAAGUUGGAAUCGCUAGUAAUCGCGGAUCAGCAUGCCGCGGUCGAAUACGUUCCCGGGCCUU